rnacentral:rRNA from 1 species
GACGAACCGUGCGAACGUUAUUCGGAAUCACUGGGCUUAAAGCGCGUGUAGGCGGGUCGGCACGUCGGUCGCUGAAAGCCCCCGGCUCAACCGGGGAACGGGCGCCGAUACGACCGCCCUGGAGGGACGUAGGGGGGCCUGGAACUUCCGGUGGAGCGGUGAAAUGCGUAGAGAUCGGAAAGAACACCAACGGCGAAAGCACGCUGCUGGGCCGACACUGACACUGAGAGACGAAAGCUAGGGGAGCGAAUGGG